rnacentral:ncRNA from 2 species
AAUAACGAUGAGAUGUCAGGCGCUAAUCCAUAGCUUAAUAGGGAAUCCGGUUCAAAUCCGGAACUGUCCCCGCAACUGUAAGUGUCGACGAAAUGAGGAACAUCCACUGUGCCGCUGUGCAUGGGAAGGGCUCAAAGUAGGAGGAAGCACAAGUCAGGAGACCUACCUGCAUCUCGAAGUUUCA